CCAGGGUUCAUACAUUCUGGCAAACAUUGUAGUUGCGCAGGAUCCAAUGAUGUGGUCAUGCAAUGGAAAUUUGGCAAUUUCCGAGUAGAAUGUGGUGGAGAAAGCCAAGAACCUUCAGGCUUAACCAUCCAACCAAAAGAAUUACCUGAUGGUGAAAUUAGAAAAGACAAAUAAAUUAGUAUCUGGAGAAGAAUCCGUUACCAUUUUAGCUCCAGACCCAGUUGUAUGAAAUCGCAAACAUACCGAGAGUUACGCUUUGAUCUGCAAUGUGCGAUUAAUUUCUGCUUCUUUUAGGAAUAAGAAAGAGAAAAGGAAAAACUACAAAUUGCAGCUUGAUAAUAUAACAAAAACGUGGAGUCAAACUACGUGACAGGUUUGAGCAAAUGACGGA
rnacentral:lncRNA from 1 species